GUCUUUUUGUUUUUAUUUAAAGUCAGACCUGCCCAAUGAAUUUUAAAUGGCCGCAGUACUUUAACUGUGCAAAGGUAGCGUAAUAAUUUGUUUUUUAAUUGGAAACUAGUAUGAAUGGUCAAACGAGGGGUUAACUUUCUUUAUCUUAUUUUAAAUAAAUUUAUUUUUCUGUGAAAAAGCAGAAAUGUUUUUAGAAGACGAUAAGACCCUUUAAAACUUUAUUUUAUAUAGAAGCAUAAAUAUACAGAUUUAUUNUUUUAUGUUUUUAUUAUAUUAAAUUUUAUUGGGGCGAUAGGUAAAUUUAUAUAACUUUAUUUUAUUUUUUUCCAUUAAUUAAUGUU
rnacentral:rRNA from 1 species